UGGGGAAUAUUGGACAAUGGGCGAAAGCCUGAUCCAGCCAUGCCGCGUGUGUGAAGAAGGUCUUCGGAUUGUAAAGCACUUUAAGUUGGGAGGAAGGGCAUUAACCUAAUACGUUAGUGUUUUGACGUUACCGACAGAAUAAGCACCGGCUAACUCUGUGCCAGCAGCGGCGGUAAUACAGAGGGUGCAAGCGUUAAUCGGAAUUACUGGGCGUAAAGCGCGCGUAGGUGGUUUGUUAAGUUGGAUGUGAAAUCCCCGGGCUCAACCUGGGAACUGCAUUCAAAACUGACUGACUAGAGUAUGGUAGAGGGUGGUGGAAUUUCCUGUGUAGCGGUGAAAUGCGUAGAUAUAGGAAGGAACACCAGUGGCGAAGGCGACCACCUGGACUAAUACUGACACUGAGGUGCGAAAGCGUGGGGAGCAAACA
rnacentral:rRNA from 1 species